CGAACAAGCAAAAAAGUUGUCCCGACUAUUUUAAAAGAAAAGUUGUCCUGACUGUCUUUCCAAGUGUAAGGUUUGUUUCUGCUUCAGUGAUCAGGGGCACGGUGAAGACAUGCACAUUUGCUAAUAAAUGCAAGUGUCCUUUUACAGAAAAAAAAAAUAAGCACCACAGUGUGAUAAGGCAAUUUUGGAAAAGCAAAUAUCUACUUUUGUAG
rnacentral:lncRNA from 1 species